GUGGGGAAUAUUGCACAAUGGGCGCAAGCCUGAUGCAGCAACGCCGCGUGAGCGAUGAAGGCCUUCGGGUCGUAAAGCUCUGUCCUGGGGGAAGAAACAAAUGACGGUACCCCGGGAGGAAGCCCCGGCUAACUACGUGCCAGCAGCCGCGGUAAUACGUAGGGGGCAAGCGUUAUCCGGAAUUAUUGGGCGUAAAGAGUGCGUAGGUGGUUCUGUAAGCGCAAAGGUGAAAGGCUACAGCUUAACUGUAGUAAGCCAUGCGAACUGUGGAACUUGAGUGCAGGAGAGGAGAGCGGAAUUCCUAGUGUAGCGGUGAAAUGCGUAGAUAUUAGGAGGAACACCAGUGGCGAAGGCGGCUCUCUGGACUGUAACUGACACUGAGGCACGAAAGCGUGGGGAGCGAACAGGAUUAGAAACCCUAGUAGUCC
rnacentral:rRNA from 1 species